CAACUUUUAAGCAGAAGUCUGUAUCAGCACAAUUGGCUGGAACAAAUAACAGGGCUGAGAGAGCAAGAGCAAGCAAUAAGUAAAUCUUCACUGUAAAUUUCCUUCAGAAACCACAUAACCUGGGGAGCCUCACCAUAAAGAGUCUUUGGGCGCAUCUGCUGGCUACUUAAGCCUGAAGAAAUGCCACUGGGUAGCAUAUCAUGAAGAAGAAGAACAAGCUCCCUUCCAGACCAGAGGCUUUCAUUAAUAUUUUCAUUUUCAUGCAUUAUAUUUUGGCACAUAAGCCUCUUCCUUAUCUGAAGAGAUUCUCUGCUUUACUCUGAAUGGUUCUCCUUACAACUGACGAACAAUCUCUCAGAACACAAAAUAUGCUGCUGGGCACAGAUCCCAGGUAAGGAAACACAGCAAUUGAAAGAUCCAAUGACUGAUAGAACUUGUGACGCAAGCCAUUUACAGGGUCAGUUGUGUGUGGCACAACAGCUAAGAUUGAUACGAAGAAAAUGUAUUCUCCACUCAGCUUGCAUUUCUUGAGCCCGCACAUCAGGAUUGCAGCUCUAUAAAUGUAUUGAAUCACUUCUUGAGAAAGAAUUGCAAAAACUGCACUUAACCUGGCCUUGCAGUUCUUUGGAGAUUGCUCAGGAACUGAUUUUUUCCUCCACUUUUGGUUUGACCUCUAGUUUUGUGUUGAUUUGGGGGCAUUUUACUGACAAUCUCACUGUGACUCUUUUUGCAACACCAUGUGCUGUAUCUGAACCUGAUGGAGAGACUGCACAAGUUAUAGCUCUAGGGAUGAUAUCCUUGCUCUGUUUCAGUUCAGUGAUCUGCUUUGAAAUGGAUGUAAAUCUCUUGCCAUACUUUCUUGGAUGUCUUAAUCAGGAUCAUCCUUGCUUAUGGGAACAAAAAUUUUACAAGUAUUAUCUUAGGAAGAGUACUCUUUGCCUCUGUAUCACCAAAGAAGAUUCAAUUGAAACAAGUGAAAUUACAGCCUUGGCUUCAGGAUGGCCUCUGUGUUGCACUGAGCAUGUGGUGGUCAAUUUUUUUCUUAAAAAUAGACAUCUCAAGUUGCAUUUUCACUUGUGAUCAAGGUCAUCAGAGCACGAUGAAGCACAGCAGAUCAGUCAGAGCAGAUUGUGGUAUUCGUCUGAGAAAAAUACUAAGCUUAUAGAUCUCUAGCUAAUUUCUGUGUAUAAAAACUAGGUUCACAGCAAGUAAAAUGCCACGUCCUUUUAUAUGCCUUAUCUAUUUUUAACUUUUCUUAUUUUUAUGUUAAAUUCACCACAUACUCUUUGUUUUAGUAUAUACCAUGUUUUCACAUCAGAAGGUCAUUUAUUGUGAAUCCUGAGAACAAAUUUUUAACUAAAGAAAAAAAAAAAA